rnacentral:rRNA from 1 species
CCGGCACGGGUGAGUAACACGUAUCCAACCUGCCGUCUACUCUUGGACAGCCUUCUGAAAGGAGGAUUAAUACAAGAUGGCAUCAUGAGUCCGCAUGUUCACAUGAUUAAAGGUAUUCCGGUAGACGAUGGGGAUGCGUUCCAUUAGAUAGUAGGCGGGGUAACGGCCCACCUAGUCUUCGAUGGAUAGGGGUUCUGAGAGGAAGGUCCCCCACAUUGGAACUGAGACACGGUCCAA